CGUCAUUACACCUCUCGAGCUCAGCUCGGUGUUGAGGGACACCCCCCGGGGUGCUCUCGAAAUCUAGCGGUCACUUGGUUGGUCCUCGAGCGAAUAAAACUUUAUCGGUUCCGCUUCAGAAGACUCUAACCUCGUCUAACCGGACAAACUACAAAUCUACGAUUGACCUCGGAUCAGGUAGGGAUACCCGCUGAACUUAA
rnacentral:misc_RNA from 1 species